rnacentral:rRNA from 1 species
GAUAAACGCUGGCGGCGCACAUAAGACAUGCAAGUCGAACGGACUUAACCGAAAUGUUUACAUUUUGGAGCGGUUAGUGGCGGACUGGUGAGUAACACGUAAGCAACCUGCCUAUCAGAGGGGAAUAACAGUGAGAAAUCACUGCUAAUACCGCAUAUGCUGUGAGUAUCGCAUGGUACAAACAGGAAAGGAGCAAUCCGCUGAUAGAUGGGCUUGCGUCUGAUUAGAUAGUUGGUGGGGUAACGGCCUACCAAGUCGACGAUCAGUAGCCGGACUGAGAGGUUGAACGGCCACAUUGGGACUGAGAUACGGCCCAGACUCCUACGGGAGGCAGCAGUCGGGAAUAUUGCACAAUGGAGGAAACUCUGAUGCAGUGACGCCGCGUGCAGGAAGAAGGUUUUCGGAUUGUAAACUGCUUUAGACAGGGAAGAAACAAGACAGUACCUGUAGAAUAAGNUCCGGCUAACUACGUGCCAGCAGCCG